rnacentral:rRNA from 1 species
CCUACGGGAGGCAGCAGUAAGGAAUAUUGGUCAAUGGACGCAAGUCUGAACCAGCCAUGCCGCGUGAAGGAUUAAGGUCUUCUGGAUUGUAAACUUCUUUUAUAUGGGACGAAAACAGAUCUUUCUAGGUCCUUUGACGGUACCAUAUGAAUAAGCACCGGCUAACUCCGUGCCAGCAGCCGCGGUAAUACGGAGGGUGCAAGCGUUAUCCGGAUUCACUGGGUUUAAAGGGUGCGUAGGCGGGUAGGUAAGUCAGUGGUGAAAUCCUGGAGCUCAACUCCAGAACUGCCAUUGAUACUAUCUAUCUUGAAUAUUGUGGAGGUAAGCGGAAUAUGUCAUGUAGCGGUGAAAUGCUUAGAUAUGACAUAGAACACCCAUUGCGAAGGCAGCUUACUACGCAUAUAUUGACGCUGAGGCACGAAAGCGUGGGGAUCAAACAGGAUUAGAUACCCUGUAGUCCACGCCCUAAACGAUGGAUACUCGACAUACGCGAUACACAGUGUGUGUCUGAGCGAAAGCAUUAAGUAUCCCACCCUGGAAGUACGUUCGCAAGAAUGAAACUUAAAUAGAAUUGACGG